rnacentral:rRNA from 1 species
UACGUAGGGUGCGAGCGUUAAUCGGAUUUACUGGGCGUAAAGCGUGCGCAGGCGGCCCGUUAAGACAGGUGUGAAAUCCCUGGGCUCAACCUAGGAAUUGCGCUUGUGACUGGCGGGCUCGAGUACGGUAGAGGGGGGUGGAAUUCCUGGUGUAGCAGUGAAAUGCGUAGAGAUCAGGAGGAACACCGAUCGCGAAGGCAGCCCCCUGGGCCUGUACUGACGCUCAUGCACGAAAGCGUGGGGAGCAAACAGG